CGGAUCAAAGAUGAAAGGAGAAGGAUGAAGAGAAAAACGCGUGAAUUUGAAAAGAAAGCAGAAGAGAGAAAAGUCGCUUUGGGUGUUUGGGGAUCGGUGUUGUGCUAAGAAACGCGAGAUAGACACGGAGAGACAGUUGAAAAAACCAAGAGGGAGAGAGGGCUUUUUAUUCAAGCAUACGAAAGACGGAUGGGAUUGGAAACUGCUCUUCUCCUUCCGCCGGACGGAGACCCUUUCUCUUGUUUUUGUUUGUG
rnacentral:misc_RNA from 1 species